GUGGGUAUUUUGGGCACUCGGAGAUCUCCCGGCAAGAUACUCUGGAAUCGUCGUAUCCAGAGAACACUAUUUGCAGUUCCACAAUACCAUGCAUCGGUUGACGGUGAAAAUGUGGAUGAAGUGAGUAUCUUGAGAAAUCUAUGGUUAUCUUUUUGGGAACAUGGUAUCCGGAGAAUACUGUUCGGAGCUCCACAAGGCCAGGCAGAAAUUGACGGAGAGGGUAUUGUCCAAGAGCAACCUCAACCGCCAAAUGAGGCGCCUUCGUUACCGCGAAGUGGAGAUCCGGAUCAAGCAAAUGAAGAA